CAGCCGGGCGGGAUUUUCCCAGCUCCGGAGGCUCCGGCUCAGGAUCUCAUCCCAGUUUUCUCCAUCCCUGGCACAGAUGUCCCCGAGGUCGAGGUGGCCCUGGAGGACAACCUGGUGAGACAUGGGGGUGUUCCUGCCCCGUCCCAAACCCGGCCCUCUCCUUUCCCUCCCCAUCCUGCUGUUGCCGGUUUUCCCUCACCCACGAAUCCCCACAUUGCACCAGGCACAGUCCUGCCCCAUCCUGCUGCUCCAUCCCCCCGUUUUCCACCGGGAAUUCUGUCACGAAGGGAGCAGCACCCAGACCCAUCCCACAUCCUCCGUGCCUCAGUUUCCCCGUUCCCAAGGGUGUUCCUGCCCACCCCCCCCCAGAAUCCAAGUCCAUCCUAACUCCACGCUCUUCCCGCAGGAAGAGGAUCCAGUCCAUCCCAAAAUCCAGAGUGUCUCCAGCCUCGAGGAGAUCCACGUGGACCAGCCUCUGCCGUGCUCCUCCUGUACCAAGCGGCCGCUUCCCUGCGUGGAGAGGGGCAGCCAGAUGUCCCCCAAAAUCAUGAAGUUGGAAUGUGACCAUGAGGCAGGUCCCAGCCGUCCCCAGUCCCACUGGGAAUUCCAGACGGAGCCCGGCCCCUCCACGUGGCAGCACAACUGCGUCCGCAGCGGUGACGCAGAGGUCGGCAGCAUCAUCAUCUGCAGCUCGGACGACAGCGACGAGGACACCGUGGUGGUGACGGUGACACCGGAGCCACCCCCGUGCUGAUGCCCCAGGGAAUCAUCCGGCCUCAUCCCAGAAUUCCCAGAUUUCCGCUUGGACUUUCAUCUUCUUGGCCAAUCCCAAAUUUAUUCUUGGGCUGAGCUCCCGGUCUUCCGGAGCGGCCCCAAAUCCCUCUGGAUCUGCUGAGAUCUCCCCUUCGAGGCUUUGAGGUUUCUUGGCAAUGAGGAUCUUCUCCCAAAUCCCAUCCAAGUUGUUCCCAAAAUAAAAUUUGGGAUGGGAUUUGGGAUCUGUGCUGGCAGAUCCCAUUCCCAAGCCCCCCCAAAUGGGGAGAGAUGAUCCCAAGGGUGGGAUCUCCUCUGGGAUCCAGAGCAGGGAAUUCCUUAGGACUGGGGUUGGGAUUGGGGUUGGGGUUGGGAUCAGGGUUGGUUUUCCAGUGUAACGAGGCACAAAAAAUCCCGUUUUUUUAAUGUCUCCCCCCUAUAAAGCUGUUCUGGGAUAAAAUUCCAGCCCUGCUGUCUCUCCCUCUGUUGGUUCCUCAAGGGUGUCCCCAUAAGUGACAUUUUCC
rnacentral:lncRNA from 12 species